GACGAACGCUGGCGGCGUGCUUAACACAUGCAAGUCGAACGGAAAGGCCCUGCUUUUGUUGGGUGCUCGAUUGGCGAACGGGUGAGUAACACGUGAGUAACCUGCCCUUGACUUUCUGAUAACUUCAGGAAACUCGGGCGCAUACCCGAUAGAAGCUCCUGCUGCAUGUGGUGGGUUGGAAAGUUUCGGCGUUUGGGGCUAGACUCGCUGCUUAUCAGCUGGUUGGUGGGGUAGUGGCUUACCAAGGCUUUGAGGGGUAGCCGGCCUGAGAGGGUGACCGGCGACAUUGGGACUGAGAGACGGCGCAGACGCCUACGGGAGGCAGCAGUGGGGAAUAUUGCACAAUGGGGGGAAGCCUGAUGCAGCAGCGUCGCGUGCGGGAUGACGGCUUUCGGGUUGUAAACAGCUUUCGCCUGUGACGAAGCGUGAGUGACGGUAAUGGGUAAAGAAGCACCGGCUAACUACGUG
rnacentral:rRNA from 1 species